AUUGAACGCUGGCGGCAUGCUUUACACAUGCAAGUCGAACGGUAACAGGCCGCAAGGUGCUGACGAGUGGCGAACGGGUGAGUAAUGCAUCGGAACGUGCCCAGUCGUGGGGGAUAACGCAGUGAAAGCUGCGCUAAUACCGCAUACGAUCUAUGGAUGAAAGCGGUGGAACGAAAGGCCUCGCGCGAUUGGAGCGGCCGAGGUCAGAUUAGAUAGUUGGCGAGGUAACGGCUCACCAAGGCCACGAUCUUUAGGGGCGCUGAGAGGAGAAUCCCCCACACUGGGACUGAGAUACGGGCCAGACUCCUACGGGAGGCAGCAGUAGGGAAUAUUGGGCAAUGGGCGCAAGCCUGACCCAGCCACGCCGCGUGCAGGAAGAAGGCCCUCUGGGUUGUAAACUGCUUUUGACCGGGAAGAAAAGAAUCUUUGCGAAGAUAGUUGACGGUACCGGCAGAAUAAGCCACGGCUAACUACGUGCCAGCAGCCGCCGUAACAC
rnacentral:rRNA from 1 species